GUGGCCCUCAGUAAUAUCAAAGAAGCUGACAAUACUGUCAUGUUCAUGCAGGGAAAAAGGCAGAAAGAAAUAUGGCAUCUCCUUAAAAUUGCCUGUACACAGAGUUCUGCCCGGUCCCUUGUAGGAUCCAGUCUAGAAGAGAGACUUCAGCACAAAUGAUAGAAGAAAAUUUGAACUGCCUUGGCCAUUUAAGCACUAUUAUUCAUGAGGCAAAUGAGGAACAGGGCAGUAGUAUGAUGAAUCUUGAUUGGAGUUGGUUAACAGAAUGAGUUGUCACUUGUUCACUGUUCCCAAACCUAUGGAAGUUGUUGCUAUACAUGUUGGAAAUGUGUUUUUCCCCCAUGAAACCAUUCUUCAGACAUCAGUCAAUGGAAGAAAUGGCUAUGAACAGAAACUACAUUUCUACUACGAUCAGAAGAACAUGAUUUUACAAGUAUAACAGUUUUGAGUAAUUCAAGCCUCUAAACAGACAGGAAUUUAGAAAAAGUCAAUGUACUUGUUUGAAUAUUUGUUUUAAUACCACAGCUAUUUAGAAGCAUCAUCAUGACACAUUUGCCUUCAGUCUUGGUAAAACAUUACUUAUUUAACUGAUUAAAAAUACCUUCUAUGUAUUAGUGUCAACUUUUAACUUUUGGGCGUAAGACCAAAUGUAGUUUUCUAUACAGAGAAGAAAAC
rnacentral:sRNA from 1 species